CAAACAUUUGAACUAUAUGUAUAUUUCUUUCUUCGUUAUUUCUUUUGUAACAGAAAGUUAUGCAAAUCUAAGAAACGGUAAGAGAUGAAAUAUGUGUUCGUACUGUGAAGCUUAGAAUUUUUUGAUCAUCGGAACUACGGUUUAUAUGACCAUGGUCAGAAUACGUAUGCAAUCGUGAAUCGUUCAAAAUCGUACAAUUGAAUUGUGUUUUUUUAUUAGUGUCUUCAUAAAAAAAAUAUACAGUGAACAAUUACAGGUGCAAGAAAGCGUAGUUUAUUUUUGUGGAUUGUUAAUCCUUGCAGUUUAGGUAGACACGUUGCUUCGGUUCCUUAGUUUUAGUGAUUAAUAUUUAGUUUCUUCUUGUUUCUUACAAUCGAUUGCUAUAACCUUAAAAAAGACAGCAGUAACAAUGUAUAGACACGGUACUUACGAUAGAUGUAAAUUUGUCCAUUGUAACAAUGGAAAGCACAAUGGACACCGUUUGUUUCGAUUUCCAUCUAAACCAGAAAGACAGAAAAAAUGGAUAGAAAAUACAGUUUUCGAUGUGUAGAAUACGAAAGUGCAAGUUUCAAGACGAGGAAUCUACUGCUUCAAAAGUUCUGACUGUUUCAAAAGUAAAAACCGAGCAACAUUUUAAAGCACUUUACAUGUUAUUUUGACGUCAUAUUGUUUUUUUUUUAUACAUGAUUCGUCCGACGAGUGGAGUCGUUAAUUGUAAAUAAAUGCACGUGAAUGGCGACUAUUUUGUGACGGGAUAUUGAAUCGUGAGUAUUGAAUUCGCUUAAAUUAGGUUCGGCCCAAUCUUCACUCUCCGGCCACCGUUUACUGUUUACGCUAGUACAAACCAACUUUCGAUGAAAUUCAUUUCGAUGCUCAUCUACGCAGACAGGAGGAAAUUGGCGUUAAGAUUCUACACGCUGAAAACUACAAGAUUGCAAAAAAGUCAAUAACUUUUUUAGUUCCUAAAUUAAGGUUUAACCAAUGUGGUUCGAUGAUUCAACAAAGUGCAAAUCAUUUGUAAUUUGACAAUUCCAAUCUUUUUGUUCGGCGGAUCAUAGCUUCUGCUGCUCGGUUUCUAUUAAGGAAAUAGUUGGCUUCGGUUCUUGUCAACCUCCACGAUCAGGACUGCAGGACUUUGCGAUCUUCAUUUCCGAGAGGAAGAUUUUUGCGAUGGAACGAAAAAGCGUUUGCUUCGGAAUCGUGAUCCGAUCCAUUGGAAGGAAAUAUCGACGCCCCAUGGGCAGACACAGGCGAUUGUUGAAUCGCAAGAAUCAGGGAAUUCCACACAAGUAGCAGUACAAGUGCAGAAGCUUCAAGAACAAGUACCAAGUAUAAUAGAAAUCUGUGAUAAAAAUCUUCAAGAAAAUGUUAAUUGUGAUAAAAAUCUUCAAGAAAAUGUUAACUGUGAUAAAAAUCUUCAACAAAGUAUUAACUGUGAUAAAAAUCUUCAAGAAAAUGUUUACUUUAGUAACCUUGACGAUUUUAAUAUUAGAAACCAGUCAAACCCUAAUUUAUAUCCUUCGGGGAAAGAACUGUUCCUUAACACUGCUUCGGAUGAUACCGAUUUGUCAUUUUUAAAUUACGAAUUAGGUGCACAGGCUCCUAUACCUUGCGAAAAUGUGACAGUUGUUUCACUUGUAUCAAAAAAAGAUUUUCAAUGCUCCAAAGAAUGUAAAAUAGUGGUUGAUUCCUUAAAAAAAAAGAUAAAUCUUUUACAGAUAAAGGUAAAGCGAUUGGAAAAGAGAGCAAAAUGUGUACAAAGUAAAUAUUCAUAUGUACGCAAGCAAUUAGAAAAGCAACUAAGCCAAAAAAUCCGCAAUAUUGAUGACUUUUUAGUAACGAAUAAACUAGCUAAAGAUGUAGGUCCGACGGCGAAGACUGUAAUUAAACUACAGUUGCGUACAAAAAAGACUCAAUAUACAGAAGACGAGAAAGAGUUAGCGAAGCAAAUUUAUUUUCAGUCACCAACUAACUAUACUAAAUUGCGAAAUGUGGGUUUGAUUUUACCUUCAGAAUCCAUAGUUCGAACAUGGUUCUCUAAGUAUGAUGGUUCCGGGAAUGAAUGAAAUGAUCUUUUGAAAAAUUUCUGAUUAUGUAAUUGAGAAGUUUGAUAAAAAAAAAGAGGGGGGGCAUGCAUGCCAAAAUCCCAUUUUAAGAAAAUUGAUUUUAAAGUUUUCAUUAUGGUAUUACUUAGUGAAAAGUAAUUGAAUCCAAUUUUUUAAAGGUGUAUUAAUAUAUUCUUAAAACGUUCUGGAAACAGAAAUAAUGAUUAAAAGAUGUUAUGCAUUUUUAUUUAUAAGCUUUAAAAAAUUGAUUUAUGUGCCUUUUUUUAUAAAUAGAGUAAAAUUACUUUUUUGUUUAUUUGUUUAAGUAUAAUUUUAUUUACUUAUUCAGUUACAAAUUUUUUUAUACAGAACUUAUAUAAAAAAUACAAGCUUAAGACCAAAAUUAAACAAAAAAUUAAAUUUCUUAAGUAAAUAUUUUUAUACAAGUUGCAUGUGUAACUGUAGUUCACGCUUUUAUUUUCUAAUGUCACCAUAUCUAGCUCCAAUAAGUUCUAUACAUUUAUACUCAUUAUCUUUUUUUCAAAAUUUUUACACUUCCUCCUCGUUAGUUGACAUGAAUUCAUCUUUAUCAGGUUCGCUCGGUACGAUCUUCGCUACUUGAAGAACGUUUUCAAUUCGUAUUCUACUGUCCUCAUCCAGAUAUUGGCAUAAACUUCUUGCGUCCACUCCGCGAUCAAUUCUCGUAGAGCUGGUUCAAUCGUUAAAAGCUCUAAAUAAUUUAUGCGCUUCUUUCAUAGGGAUUUAUACCAGAAACCAUAGGCUUUUUUUUUUUAUCUCCGUUUACUGCAUCCUAACCGAGAAUGUACAUGGAUACAUCAGUGUAUAUUGUUACGUUAAAUUUUCCCGAAUCAAUCUUUUUAAACGAGCCUUUUACCUUAUUUGGGACGGCAAAUCCGUUUUUCUGUACAAUUAACGCUUCUCUUAUAUAAACAGCCGAAUCAGUGGUCAAUUUCUUUACGUCACCUACUUUGAUUUUAGAUUAUUUGACAAGCAGGGCUAUAAGGGUUUUGGUACGAGGAGGUAAGUCAAGCUCGAGAAGAAUUCGUCUGGAGACGAUGAAAACAGGAAAAAUUCCUUAUCACCAAUCUGAAGACUAUUCGCUUCAUCGUUUCUAAAAAUUUCAACAUCGCAUUUUGACUUUCUAAAAAUACGGCAUUUCUAAGAUUCCUGUCUCAGCAAUGGAAAAUUCAUUAUUAACAAUUUGAAAGUUUACAUCGACAUAAUGAACUUUUUAAUGAUGAUUUCGUCACAAGUAAGUAUUAUUCUUGAAUCAAUGCCUGUGAGAAUUGUAGUCGAUAUUAGUAUUUACUGUUUUGCUUUAUUGUAUUAAGUAGCGAGCCAGCGUCAAUAAGGAAAUUGGCAAACCUUUCUUGGAAAUAAUGAUGAAAAAAGUUAAUCAUUUGCAAAGGAUCGAUCAAUUCUGGCUUUACAUUACUCGGGAUUCAAUCCUUCAUUAAUUUUAAUUUUAAAAUUUAGAAGAGGUAUUCAGUGACUUUGCAACAUUCUGUUGAGGAACCAUUUUUGAAUGAGGCGACCGAUUGUCGACUGACUGACUGCAUUUGCGUUGUCGAUUGAUUGAUUUUUGAGGCUGCGAUACGUCAGCAGAAGAUUCGGGAUUAGCAGUAACAACCAUGGUUGGAUAAGGCAACUGGUUCCUCAUUUCGGGCAGACCAACGAUGAAGCUACUUGCUUAUGUUGACAAAAGACUUAAUUCUGAAAAUUGUGAUAUGUCAACAUGAGAUUCGACUCGCAUGGUUUCAAAAAAUAUAUCUUUGACAUCAAAAGAUGAAAUAUUAAAUCUUAAACUACGACUAUUUUUAUAUUUUUUAAAACUUAUUUUAUCGUAUUUUCUCAUACAACCUAACAAAUUUGAUUACAAAAUAACUAUGUUUCAUAGAAUACACGAUAGACAGGAGAGAGUUUACAGAUUACAAUCUAAUCAGGUGGUAAUUAUUUUAUACGCAGGCUAUUUUGAAGUCCAGUUGAGUCCAAUUUUCCAGAUGUUGAUCUCAUUCAGCGUUUGGAUACCAGCUUGAUGGUCGCAGAUCGCAAUAGUCCUCCAAUAAUUGCCAAGAAAUCCAAUUGCGGUAUUCGUUCAAUGUCUCGAUGACUGACCAGGGAAUGGAUCAGGAUAUUUGAGUGUGUGUCAUGUGGUAGUCAGGAAAUGGAUCAAGUUAUGUCGGGUGCAUUUAGCAGUGAGAGAAUACUUGCACGGUCGCUGUCAUCAUUCUUCCGAUAUUCACACUCGCUCUAGGGGAAACCGUGCGGAAAUUCAAGAGGAAGAGAUUGCAUCUUCGCAAGAAGUCUCUCACCAGCCGACAAUAGGGGAAAGCUUCCUCCCGCCGUCGAUCCUCAAGUGUUCCGCCGUCUCUUCGAGAUUCCACGGAUAUUUUGCGCAUCCCAUUACUGUCAGCAAAAAUUGUUGCGGCCUGAUUUGUUAGAAAGUCGAAAUUUUGGAACGAGUUCGGAUGCUCAUGGAACGCUGAUCCGUUUUGCUCAUGAUGGCUUCGAUAAUAACUCGAAAUGUAAUAUAAAAUCAAUCAACUUACAUUUGAAUUAUUUAAAUAUUUUAAAACAACAAAUUGAACAACAACUUAAAUUUUACAAGAACAAAAAUGAAGUGUGUUUGUAGCAAACAUUGUAAGUGCCAAGAAACAAUUUUUCGGGAGGAGAAGAAAACUUAUUCUUUAAUAUAAUUCAAAUUCACGAAAAAGAACGGUGUGUCUAUAGAGAAGUCUGUAUGUGUCACCUCUUGAUUGUAAAUUCAAUGUUUCAUUCAUUUAGAUAAACGACAUAGACAAAAGCCAAGAAACCAUUAACUACCGUUUAUUGGGGCUUAUAUUUUUCUCUAUAGAGGCGACUUUGUAAUACGAUAUUCUAGCAUUAUUAAUAACUAUCUAAAAAGGGAAGUUCCACUUAAAUUCUAUAUUACAGUAUUCUCAUUAGUAUGUAGGAUAUUUAUAAAAAAUAAAAAAUUUUCAAUUUUUUCACUUACUAUGUUUUUUGCAAGCACUCUUCAACUAACUUCCAUAUUGCAGAAGGAAGCUCUGAGACACAAUAUAUUUGAAUUCUUUGAACGCUUUGAUUAAUUUAUCUAUCAGUCUCGUGGCUCAAAUGUAUCUCUUCUAAUUAAAAAAAUAACAAAUUGCGAUUUUUGUUACGUCCAAUCAGAAAAAUUGUUAAUUACUAAUGUCAAAUACAAAUUAAUCUUAUUAGUGGUUAUCAUA